rnacentral:rRNA from 1 species
UACGAAGGGGGCUAGCGUUGCUCGGAAUUACUGGGCGUAAAGCGCACGUAGGCGGCUUUUUAAGUCAGGGGUGAAAUCCUGGAGCUCAACUCCAGAACUGCCUUUGAUACUGAAGAUCUUGAGUUCGGGAGAGGUGAGUGGAACUGCGAGUGUAGAGGUGAAAUUCGUAGAUAUUCGCAAGAACACCAGUGGCGAAGGCGGCUCACUGGCCCGAUACUGACGCUGAGGCACGAAAGCGUGGGGAGCAAACAGG